AACGCACAUUGCGCCCCUCGGUAUUCCGUGGGGCAUGCCUGUUCGAGCGUCAUCUACACCCUCAAGCUCUGCUUGGUGUUGGGCGUCUGUUCCGCCUCCGCGCGCGGACUCGCCCCAAAUCCAUUGGCAGCGUCCCUUGCCCCCUCUCGCGCAGCACAUUGCGCUUCUCGAGGGCGGCUCCGGGGCGCGACCCACGAAGAUGACCACCGUCGUUGACCUCGGAUCAGGUAGGGAUACCCGCUGAACUUAA
rnacentral:misc_RNA from 1 species